rnacentral:rRNA from 1 species
CCCUUAGAUGUUCUGGGCCGCACGCGUGCUACACUGAGUGGAUCAGCGGGUCAGGUUGCGCGAAAGCGUUUCCUAAUCUUUAAAUCCGCUCGUGAUGGGGAUUGACGGUUGCAAUUUUCUGUCAUGAACGAGGAAUACCUUGUAAGCGCGGGUCAUCAUCCCGCGCUGAAUACGUCCCUGCCCUUUGUACACACCGCCCGUCGCUCCUACCGAUUGAGUGGUCCGGUGAGGCUUUGGGAUCUGAGCGGAAAGAGCGUUCCGCUGUUUCUGCUCGGAAAACUCAGUCGAACCUUAUCAUUUAGAGGAAGGAGAAGUCGUAACA